UACGUAGGGUGCAAGCGUUAAUCGGAAUUACUGGGCGUAAAGCGUGCGCAGGCGGUUGUGCAAGACAGAUGUUAAAUCCCCGGGCUCAACCUGGGAAUUGCAUUUGUGACUGCACGGCUAGAGUGUGUCAGAGGGGGGUAGAAUUCCACGUGUAGCAGUGAAAUGCGUAGAGAUGUGGAGGAAUACCGAUGGCGAAGGCAGCCCCCUGGGAUAACACUGACGCUCAUGCACGAAAGCGUGGGGAGCAAACAGG
rnacentral:rRNA from 1 species